GGCGAGAGGGGAGGCAGCGGCGGAUAAAUGCUAUUAGAGCAGCCUCCGCGGAGCCGUCCCCGACGCCACCUCCCGUCUCCUCCGCCGCAGUUUCCUCCGCCGCGGUCGGGGGUGCAGAGCUGAGGGGCCCGGGCAGGCGCGCCGCGCGGCUCCUCUCCCGUCGCCCGCCUCGCUGUCCUCCGCGUCCAGGGCUCGGCCGGACGCCCCUCCUCGGCUGUGCCGGGUCUCCCCUCAGCGAAGCGCCCGGGCCCGCGCUCCGUGCGGCCGGCCGGCUGGCAGCUAAGGCGGCGCACACUCGCGGCGGGGCGGCGGGAGGCUCGCAGCCCCUCGGGCGGGCUCGGCGAGGCCCGGCCGCGUGCGGCGGUUUCUGGGGGAGGGGGCUCGGGUGAUUCAGCGCCCGGUCAGGCGGAAGCGGCCGCCGCCGCGGAGGAGGAGGAGGAGGAGGAGAAAAAAGGAGGGGACAGCUGUCCGCGCCCGGGCGCCCGCGGUGGCACGAGCCCGCGGCCCGAGUGCGAGGCGGAGGCGAGGAGGCCGCGGGGACGCGAGGCGAGGCCGGCCGGGGCCCCCGCAGCCAUGGAGAACGCUCACACAAAGACCGUGGAGGAGGUGCUGGGCCACUUUGGCGUCAACGAGAGCACGGGGCUGAGCCUGGAGCAGGUCAAGAAGCUCAAGGAGAGAUGGGGCUCCAACGAAUUACCGGCUGAAGAAGGAAAAACCUUGCUGGAACUUGUGAUUGAGCAGUUUGAAGACUUACUAGUUAGAAUUUUAUUGCUGGCAGCAUGUAUAUCUUUCGUUUUGGCUUGGUUCGAAGAAGGUGAAGAAACGAUUACAGCCUUUGUAGAACCCUUUGUAAUUCUGCUUAUAUUGGUAGCCAAUGCAAUUGUGGGUGUAUGGCAGGAAAGAAAUGCUGAAAAUGCAAUAGAAGCUCUUAAGGAAUAUGAACCUGAAAUGGGCAAAGUGUAUCGACAGGACAGAAAGAGUGUGCAGCGAAUUAAAGCUAAAGAUAUAGUUCCUGGGGAUAUAGUGGAAAUUGCUGUUGGUGACAAAGUUCCUGCUGAUAUUAGAUUGACAUCCAUCAAGUCUACAACUUUAAGAGUUGACCAGUCAAUUCUUACAGGUGAAUCUGUCUCAGUCAUCAAGCAUACUGACCCUGUCCCUGACCCACGAGCUGUUAAUCAAGACAAAAAGAACAUGCUCUUUUCUGGUACAAACAUUGCUGCUGGAAAAGCUAUGGGAGUGGUGGUGGCAACUGGAGUUAAUACUGAAAUCGGCAAGAUCCGGGAUGAAAUGGUGGCAACAGAACAGGAGAGAACACCCCUACAGCAGAAGCUAGAUGAGUUUGGGGAGCAGCUUUCCAAAGUUAUCUCCCUCAUUUGCAUUGCAGUCUGGAUCAUCAACAUUGGGCAUUUUAAUGACCCAGUUCAUGGUGGCUCUUGGAUCAGGGGUGCCAUUUACUACUUUAAGAUUGCAGUGGCCCUGGCUGUUGCUGCCAUCCCUGAGGGUCUGCCAGCUGUCAUCACCACCUGCUUGGCUCUUGGAACUCGCAGGAUGGCAAAGAAAAAUGCUAUUGUUCGAAGUCUGCCUUCUGUGGAAACCCUUGGUUGUACUUCUGUUAUCUGCUCAGACAAGACAGGCACACUUACCACAAACCAGAUGUCUGUCUGCAGGAUGUUCAUUCUGGACAAAGUAGAAGGGGACACGUGUUCCCUUAAUGAGUUUACCAUAACUGGAUCCACAUACGCACCGAUUGGAGAAGUGCAAAAAGAUGAUAAGCCAGUGAAAUGCCAUCAGUAUGACGGGCUUGUAGAGUUAGCAACGAUCUGUGCUCUGUGUAAUGACUCUGCUUUGGAUUAUAAUGAGGCAAAGGGUGUAUAUGAGAAAGUAGGAGAAGCUACAGAGACCGCUCUCACGUGCCUGGUAGAGAAGAUGAAUGUAUUUGAUACUGAACUGAAGGGACUUUCUAAAAUAGAACGUGCAAAUGCCUGCAAUUCGGUCAUAAAACAGCUGAUGAAGAAGGAAUUCACUCUAGAGUUUUCACGUGAUAGAAAAUCAAUGUCCGUCUAUUGUACACCAAACAAACCAAGCCGGACAUCCAUGAGCAAGAUGUUUGUGAAGGGUGCUCCUGAAGGUGUCAUCGAUAGGUGCACCCACAUCCGAGUUGGAAGUACCAAGGUCCCCAUGACUCCUGGUGUCAAACAGAAGAUUAUGUCUGUCAUUCGGGAGUGGGGCAGUGGCAGUGACACACUGCGGUGCCUGGCUCUGGCCACUCAUGACAACCCACUGAGGAGAGAGGAGAUGCACCUGGAAGAUUCUGCUAACUUCAUCAAAUAUGAGACCAAUCUGACUUUCGUUGGCUGUGUGGGCAUGCUGGAUCCUCCCAGGAUUGAAGUGGCCUCUUCUGUGAAGCUGUGCCGGCAAGCAGGCAUCCGAGUCAUCAUGAUCACUGGGGAUAACAAAGGCACUGCUGUGGCCAUCUGUCGCCGCAUUGGCAUCUUUGGGCAGGAUGAGGAUGUGACAUCAAAGGCUUUUACAGGGCGAGAGUUUGAUGAAUUAAGCCCUUCAGCCCAGCGAGAUGCCUGCUUAAAUGCCCGUUGUUUUGCUCGAGUUGAACCUUCCCACAAGUCUAAGAUCGUUGAGUUCCUUCAGUCCUUUGAUGAGAUCACAGCUAUGACUGGUGAUGGUGUGAAUGACGCUCCUGCUCUUAAGAAAUCUGAAAUCGGAAUUGCCAUGGGUUCAGGUACUGCAGUGGCUAAGACGGCCUCUGAGAUGGUCCUGGCAGAUGACAACUUCUCCACCAUUGUGGCUGCUGUUGAGGAGGGACGAGCCAUCUACAACAACAUGAAGCAGUUCAUCCGCUACCUCAUCUCAUCCAAUGUGGGGGAAGUGGUCUGCAUCUUCCUAACGGCAGCCCUUGGGUUUCCUGAGGCUUUAAUUCCUGUCCAGUUACUCUGGGUCAAUCUGGUGACAGAUGGUCUGCCUGCCACUGCGCUGGGGUUCAACCCUCCAGACCUGGACAUCAUGAACAAACCCCCCCGGAACCCAAAAGAACCGCUGAUCAGCGGGUGGCUCUUUUUCCGUUACCUGGCUAUUGGCUGUUAUGUUGGCGCUGCCACUGUGGGUGCUGCUGCAUGGUGGUUCAUCGCUGCUGAUGGUGGUCCAAGAGUCUCCUUUUACCAGCUGAGUCAUUUCCUACAGUGUAAGGAGGACAACCCAGACUUCGAUGGAGUGGAUUGCGCAAUCUUUGAGUCCCCAUAUCCAAUGACAAUGGCACUUUCUGUUCUAGUAACCAUAGAGAUGUGUAAUGCUCUCAACAGCUUGUCUGAAAAUCAGUCUUUGCUGAGGAUGCCUCCCUGGGAAAAUAUCUGGCUCGUGGGCUCCAUCUGCUUGUCCAUGUCACUUCACUUCUUGAUCCUCUAUGUGGAACCUUUGCCACUCAUUUUCCAGAUUACACCGCUGAAUCUGACCCAGUGGCUGAUGGUGCUGAAAAUCUCCUUGCCUGUGAUCCUCAUGGAUGAGACGCUCAAGUUUGUGGCCCGAAACUACCUGGAACCCGGUAAAGAGUGUGUGCAGCCUGCCACCAAAUCCUCCUGCUCCCUGUCGGCAUGCACCGAUGGCAUUUCCUGGCCGUUUGUGCUGCUCAUUAUGCCCCUGGUGGUCUGGGUCUACAGCACAGACACUAACUUUAGUGAUAUGUUCUGGUCUUGACUGACAGCGCUACAUACAGAAGAUGUUUAACUUAAUCAAUUAAUUUUUUAUUGUUUAAAGCAACUGUCUAUUUCUGCUGAAUUUUCACAUGAACAUAUUGGCUGGUGAAGGAGGUUUCAUAUCUAGAUUUUGUUUUGCUUUUUCUGACUCCAGUGGGACAAGAUUUUCCUUUUUUUUAUACACAUAAUUAAAGUGUCCAUUGACAUGUACAGAGAACUAACACUAUUUUAUGCAGAUAUUUUUUUGUAGAUGAAAAAGCAUGUACAGUGUUCUGUUUAAUACUCAUACUUGUACAAAGAUAGUUGAGCCAGCAGACAUUGUCAGCAAAUUAAUUGGCAGCAGACUUAGGAAAUGAAUGUGUGUGGUUUUUAAAAGAAAAAAAAACUAAAUAGCAUGUAUUGUGUCUUUUGCAUGAUUCUCUGGAUUUAAUUUGGUAUCACAGUCUAAUUUUUAUUCAUAAGCCAAUUUUUCUGCACUGAGCAGAGUCCUGCUACCUCAGUCAGUAUUUUUGGUUUGCCACUUCCUGCACCCUCAGCCUCUGUCACCCCCAGCCCACCCCAGCCCGCUCGGCUUCUUCUGUAGGUCUGAUGGUUCUGUUUACAUCCGUCUUCACGAGAGGUUUGCCUGUCUCGCUUGUGCAGAAAACAUUGCUCCAGAUUCAAUCGACUGGGUUUCUGUCCCUUCACCUAGUUUUUAAGGUUAUUUAUUUAAAUGUCUAAUGUAUUUUAUUGUAACAGACAUUGUUUUGCCAACAUUGCCUAUUCAGUGGCACUUCACAAUCUAGUUUAAAAGAAAAAUAAAACAUUUUAAAUGGACAGAGAAAAAUAACUGUCUUGUUCUUAAUGGCCUUGAACUACCUAUAUAAUCAGUUCAAAUUUCUGAGCUUCUCAGCUUAAGAGCCUUAGUUUCCUGUUCCUGAGGAGAAGAAUCCUAAGAAUCCUGUUCUGCUGCAUAGUAGGAUUUUAUUUACAAUGUAUAGGCACGAUCUGUCAUGUGAUAUACAUUUACUCAAGUUUCUGCUGGCCUGUUGUAUGUAGGUUGGUGUUAAGGGCAAGUGUGUGCGUAUGUAUGUGUAUGUUUUGUAAAAUCUGUAAAUAGCACAUGACCAAAUGAACAUAUUGUAUAGAAAUAUUUUUAUUUGAAUAUGGCACUAACCACCACCACCAUGACUGAUGAACGUUUGCGCAUGUUCAAGGUCAGUCUUAACGGCAGUGUGAGUCAUUAACAGUCCUAACUGUGGUGUUUUCCUCCAAUGCCUUCCAACAUCCAUCAAUUAACCAAUACUGGAGUAACCGCUUCCUAAACCAUUUGCAGAAAUGUAAGGGUGUUCGGGUGCGUGCAUGUGCGUUGUUAGCAACACAUCUACCCGCCCUCUGCAUGACUGAGGUUGGGGAAAAGAAAAAUAGAAGCAGUCCCCAACUCACUGUGUGAUGUGGAGGAAAUGUGUAUUACCAUUGGGGUUUUAGCUGUUCAAUCAAAAUAAUAACAAAUGUACAGUUUAGCAUAAUGAGUCAGAGCGCCUCUCCAGAGAAGUUGGUUUCUUUGCUGCAAGAAGAGUGAGGUUCUGAAACCUUAUCCAAGACGGAAGCCAUCAGCCAAGUCUCCACAUUUCUCUGCAAUGACAUAGCCUCUAGAAGUGUAUAAUUGUACUGCAUGCCUUCAGUUGUAAGCGGCCAGACUGCUCUACAGUGACAUUGAAACAUGCUUUCUAAUUGGCCCUGUACAGUUUGCUUAUUUAUAAAUUCAUUUAAAACACUACAGCUGUUGAAUGGUUACAACAUAGACCUCCGGUCCUAACUUCAGUUGUUUUUAGGUGUGCAGCCAGCUGUUCCACACUGUAUUAUUGUAACUUAUUUAAUGAAGUCAGAAGCAGUAGACAGAUGUUGGUGCAAUACAAGUAUUGUGUGCAUUUAUCGUAAUAAAGUGCUCAGCGUCAGUUCAGUUCCUCACAGCUUCUCACAGUGCAUGUUUGACUGUAGACUGUAAAUAGAGGUCAGUUUCUGUGCUGGUAACAGGUAUUGCACAGACAUGAUUUCAGGUAAAUAAAUCUAUUCUAUGAUAAACCCUCA